CAGCCGCCACGGUAAUACGAACCGUGCGAACGUUAUUCGGAAUCACUGGGCUUAAAGCGCGUGUAGGCGGGCCGGCACGUCGGUCGUUGAAAUCCCCCGGCUCAACCGGGGAAGUGGCGCCGAUACGACCGGCCUGGAGGAACGUAGGGGGAGCUGGAACUUCCGGUGGAGCGGUGAAAUGCGUUGAGAUCGGAAGGAACGCCCGUGGCGAAAGCGAGCUCCUGGACGUUUUCUGACGCUGAGACGCGAAAGCCAGGAGAGCGAACGGGAUUAGAUACCCCGGUAGUCCCUGUCUCUUAUA
rnacentral:rRNA from 1 species